AGCUGGUAGAGACUCCAAAUUCCCAGCUGCACUUGUGCUGAAAAGCACUGUCUGGAGACAGAUGAGCGAGUCUCACUCGUUCUGCAAGGGUAACUUUUAAAAGAAACGUCAUGCAAAGUGCUCUUCUGAAAGAAAACUGACUUUUUUUGGCAUCUGGAGCAUGUGCUAGAUUGGGUUUUCAACAUCUUAUGUCCACGUACAGUAUAAUCAAUAGAGUCACUUGGAGAAACAGUAUGGUUUUCUUAAUAUCGGGACAUGUUAAAAAAAAAAAAAAAACACAAAAUACACGUUUCCAUGACUUCCUCUGAGUUCUCUACUGGCUUUUUCCAAAGAUCAAAUUCGUAAUCCUUAGCAUAAAAAAUAAAGAAAUGAAAGAAAAAAGCAUUUUGGGUCAUGCGUUCAUCAUCGGCAUAACACUUUCAAAACUAUAAUCUCGCGGAAGGUUCUGGCAGAAACCCACUCAUCUUUGUAUCAGGACCCA